AGAGUUUGUAUCCCGUCCGAAAAUACUUGUCAUUUGAAUAAAAAAAAGAUGUAUCUAGAAGAAAAAUACGUCUAGAUACAACCUCUUUUAUCCAUUUUGAUGACAAAUAUUUCCGGACGGAGGAAAAGUACG
rfam:Triticum aestivum genome assembly, contig: Triticum_aestivum_CS42_TGACv1_scaffold_031105_1BL